AUACGGAGGAUGCGAGCGUUAUCCGGAUUUAUUGGGUUUAAAGGGAGCGUAGGCGGGAGCUUAAGUCAGCGGUUAAAUGGUGCGGCUCAACCGUGCCCUGCCGUUGAAACUGGGUUUCUUGAGAGUGCAAGAGGCGGAUGGAAUUCAUGGUGUAGCGGUGAAAUGCUUAGAUAUCAUGAAGAACUCCGAUUGCGAAGGCAGUCCGCUGGGGCACGUCUGACGCUGAUGCUCGAAGGUGCGGGAAUCAAACAGGAUUAGAUACCCUGGUAGUCCGCACGGUAAACGAUGAUUACCCGCUGUCGGCGGUAGACAGUCGGCGGCCAAGCGAAAGCGAUAAGUAAUCCACCUGGGGAGUACGCCGGCAACGGUGAAACUCAAAUGAAUUGACGGGG
rnacentral:rRNA from 1 species